rnacentral:rRNA from 1 species
CUGUUACGACUUUUACUUCCUCUAAAUGACCAAGAGGUCUCGUUGGUGACCAGCGGAGGGAUCAUU